GAAAUGAUGAUUCAGUGGUAGAAUUCUCGCUUCUCCUGUGAGAGAUCAGGGUUCAAUUCCCGAUCAGUGCA
rnacentral:tRNA from 1 species